UGGUCGCACAGGCUUAAAGUUCUGAAGCCAUGCUAUGCGUGAUCUUUCUUCGUUAUUUGCAUUUUUGCCCUAAAGGCCAACUACAAUGACAUUUCACUUUGGCGAGAUCUGUUGUAAAUGAUGAGCAUAGCUACAACCGAAGCGAUCGUGGCGAAGCCGCAGGGCUGGUUUCCCGUUAGCUAGUAGCCAUCUACAGCCCCUAAACGGACGACGGGUGCGCCUGGUGGUUGUCGCCAAUGACGUGUCACGACAGUCAGCAGGCCCCAAAGUUCUCUAAUUACGGCGUCCCGGUUUUGACAAGUGCCGCGCAUGCGGAAUCUGAUUCGGCUUCCCAACACUCCAGGAGGAUGUGGAGUACGGUAAGCCUCUCCCCGCAUCUACCACAGGUUGGAGGCUCACUUCCG